CUUAGGAAUCUGCCUAUUAGUGUGGGACAACAUUCCGAAAGGAAGGCUAAUACCGCAUACGCCCUACGGGCCAAAGCAGGGGAUCUUCGGACCUUGCUCUAAUAGAUGAGCCUAAGUCAGAUUAGCUAGUUGGUGGGGUAAAGGCCUACCAAGGCGACGAUCUGUAGUUGGUCUGAGAGGAUGAUCCGCCACACUGGGACUUGAGACACGGCCCAGACUCCUACGGGAGGCAGCAGUGGGGAAUAGGGGACAAUGGGCGCAAGCCUGAUCCCCAUGCCGCGUGUGUGAAGAAGGCCUUUUGGUUGUAAAGCACUUUAAGCGAGGAGGAGGCUACCGAGAUUAAUACUCUUGGAUAGUGGACGUUACUCGCAGAAUAAGCACCGGCUAACUCUGUGCCAGCAGCCGCGGUAAUACAUUGGGUGCGAGCGUUACGGAUUUACUGGGCGAAAGCGUGCUAGGCGGCUUUUUAAGUCGGAUGUGAAAUCCCUGAGCUUAACUUAGGAAU
rnacentral:rRNA from 1 species